rfam:Metschnikowia bicuspidata var. bicuspidata NRRL YB-4993 METBIscaffold_3, whole genome shotgun sequence.
GGUUGCGGCCAUACCAUGCAGGAUACCAUGCAGGAAGCACUGUUUCCCGUCCGAUCAACGUUAGUUAAGCUGCAUAGGGCCACACUGAGUAGUGUAGUGGGAGACCAUAUGCGAAAUUGCGGUGCAGCAAUCU